rnacentral:rRNA from 1 species
GACGAACGCUGGCGGCGUGCCUAACACAUGCAAGUCGAACGGAAAGUCCCUGCUUUUGUGGGGUGCUCUAGUUGCGAACGGGUGAGUAACACGUGAGUAACCUCUCCCUGACUGUGGGAUAACUUCAUGAAACUGGGUCUAAUACCGCAUAGGAUCUCUUGCUGCAUGUUGGGCGUUGGUUAGUUUCGGUGGUUGGGAAUGUACUCGCGGCUUAUCAGCUUGUUGGUUGGGUAGUGGCUUACCAGGGCUUUGAGGGGUAGCCGGCCUGAGAGGAGGACCGGCCCAGCUAGGACUGGGCUACGACACAGCCUAGAACGGGAGGCAACGGUGGAGAAUAGUACAUAGUAGGAGGAGGGCAGGCGUGACAACGCAGCGCGCGGGAAGAGGGGAUUCGCGUUGUGAACCGAUGUCGCCUGUGCCGGGGCGAGAGUGACGGUACCGGGUAAAGAAGCACCGGCUAACUACGUG